GAUGAACGCUGGCGGCGUGCCUAAUACAUGCAAGUCGAGCGAACAGAUGAGGAGCUUGCUCCUCUGACGUUAGCGGCGGACGGGUGAGUAACACGUGGAUAACCUACCUAUAAGACUGGGAUAACUUCGGGAAACCGGAGCUAAUACCGGAUAAUAUAUUGAACCGCAUGGUUCAAUAGUGAAAGACGGUUUUGCUGUCACUUAUAGAUGGAUCCGCGCCGCAUUAGCUAGUUGGUAAGGUAACGGCUUACCAAGGCAACGAUGCGUAGCCGACCUGAGAGGGUGAUCGGCCACACUGGAACUGAGACACGGUCCAGACUCCUACGGGAAGCAGCAGUAGGGAAUCUUCCGCAAUGGGCGAAAGCCUGACGGAGCAACGCCGCGUGAGUGAUGAAGGUCUUCGGAUCGUAAAACUCUGUUAUUAGGGAAGAACAAAUGUGUAAGUAACUAUGCACGUCUUGACGGUACCUAAUCAGAAAGCCACGGCUAACUACGUG
rnacentral:rRNA from 1 species